UACGGAGGGUGCAAGCGUUACUCGGAAUUACUGGGCGUAAAGCGUGCGUAGGUGGUUCGUUAAGUCUGAUGUGAAAGCCCUGGGCUCAACCUGGGAAUGGCAUUGGAUACUGGCGACCUAGAAUGCGGUAGAGGGGUGUGGAAUUCCCGGUGUAGCAGUGAAAUGCGUAGAUAUCGGGAGGAACAUCUGUGGCGAAGGCGACACCCUGGACCAGCACUGACACUGAGGCACGAAAGCGUGGGGAGCAAACAGG
rnacentral:rRNA from 1 species